GACGAACGCUGGCGGCGUGCUUAACACAUGCAAGUCGAACGGAAAGGCCCUGCUUUUGUGGGGUGCUCGAGUGGCGAACGGGUGAGUAACACGUGAGUAACCUGCCCUUGACUUUGGGAUAACUUCAGGAAACUGGGGCUAAUACCGGAUAGGAGCUCCUGCUGCAUGGUGGGGGUUGGAAAGUUUCGGCGGUUGGGGAUGGACUCGCGGCUUAUCAGCUUGUUGGUGGGGUAGUGGCUUACCAAGGCUUUGACGGGUAGCCGGCCUGAGAGGGUGACCGGCCACAUUGGAACUGAGAUGCGGCCCAGACUCCUACGGGAGGCAGCAGUGGGGAAUAUUGCACAAUGGGCGGAAGCCUGAUGCAGCAACGCCGCGUGCGGGAUGACGGCCUUCGGGUUGUAAACCGCUUUCGCCUGUGACGAAGCGUGAGUGACGGUAAUGGGUAAAGAAGCACCGGCUAACUACGUG
rnacentral:rRNA from 1 species